GUGCUGCCAUUCACCUCCUCCUACCUGAUUUCUUCCUGGAUGUUGGCAUGCACUGGCUGUUCCAAGAGCUCACGCAUAUGUGAGGUGUGACUUGUCUUUGGCUUUGGUUGCAGGUCUUUCAGGUUGCAGGCUAUGAAGAAGAGGCACGUAUAGCGUUUGCGGUGCUGGAUGCAGUUGAAGGCAAAACUGAUGAUGCCUUCCAAGCAUUUGAAGCUAUCAAGAAUGUGGUUUCAUACUGGAAUCUUGCCGAGCUUUGCCAAAGGAAGGCAGAGGAGAUGGUGAGUGGUGAUGUUUUGGCAGAAGAACAAGGAGAACACAAAGCCUACCUUCUUAAAAGAAAGCAGUACCUAACGAAGAUCAUUGAUGAGUUCUCCUCAGAUCUGUCAGUAGCUGACAAACUGCCAGUGUCGAUUGAAACUGUAAUGGAAAUGCUGAAUGCAGUGAUCCAGGCACUUGGAGAACUUG